rnacentral:rRNA from 3 species
GGCAGGCCUAACACAUGCAAGUCGAGCGGUAGCACAGAGAGCUUGCUCUCGGGUGACGAGCGGCGGACGGGUGAGUAAUGUCUGGGAAACUGCCUGAGGGAGGGGGAUAACUACUGGGAACGGUAGCUAAUACCGCAUAAUGUCGCAAGACCAAAGAGGGGGACCUUCCGGCCUCUUGCCAUCAGAUGUGCCCAGAUGGGAUUAGCUAGUAGGUGGGGGAAUGGCUCACCUAGGCGACGAUCCCUAGCUGGUCUGAGAGGAUGACCACCCACACUGGAACUGAGACACGGUCCACACUCCUACGGGAGGCAGCAGGGGGGAAUAUUGCACAAUGGGCGCAAGCCUGAUGCAGCCAUGCCGCGUGUGUGAAGAAGGCCUUCGGGUUGUAAAGCACUUUCAGCGAGGAGGAAGGCAUUAAGGUUAAUAACCUUAUUGAUUGACGUUACUCGCAAAAGAAGCACCGGCUAACUCCCUGCCAGCAGCCGCGGAAAUACGGAGGGUGCGAGCGUUAAUCGGAAUUACUGGGCGUAAAACGCACGCAGGCGGGUGGUAUCCGGAUGUAAAAUCUCCGGUUUCAGCCGGGGGACUCCAUUCCAAAACUGGGGGGGCUACA